rnacentral:rRNA from 1 species
GACGAACGCUGGCGGCGUGCUUAGCACAUGCAAGUCGAACGGAAAGGCCCUGCUUUUGUGGGGUGCUCGAGUGGCGAACGGGUGAGUAACACGUGAGUAACCUGCCCUUGACUUUGGGAUAACUUCAGGAAACUGGGGCUAAUACCGGAUAGGAGCUCCUGCUGCAUGGUGGGGGUUGGAAAGUUUCGGCGGUUGGGGAUGGACUCGCGGCUUAUCAGCUUGUUGGUGGGGUAGUGGCUUACCAAGGCUUUGACGGGUAGCCGGCCUGAGAGGGUGACCGGCAACAUUGGGACUGAGAUACGGCCCAGACUCCUACGGGAGGCAGCAGUGGGGAAUAUUGCACAAUGGGCGGAAGCCUGAUGCAGCAACGCCGCGUGCGGGAUGACGGCCUUCGGGUUGUAAACCGCUUUCGCCUGUGACGAAGCGUGAGUGACGGUAAUGGGUAAAGAAGCACCGGCUAACUACGUG